rnacentral:rRNA from 1 species
UACGUAGGGGGCUAGCGUUGUCCGGAAUCAUUGGGCGUAAAGAGCGUGUAGGCGGCCCGGUAAGUCCGCUGUAAAAGUCAAAGGCUCAACCUUUGAAUGUCAGUGGAUACUGCCGGGCUAGAGUCCGGAAGAGGCGAGUGGAACUCCUGGUGUAGCGGUGGAAUGCGCAGAUAUCAGGGAGAACACCAACGGCGAAGGCAGCUCGCUGGGACGGUACUGACGCUGAGACGCGAAAGCGUGGGGAGCGAACAGG